rnacentral:rRNA from 1 species
GACGAACGCUGGCGGCGUGCUUAACACAUGCAAGUCGAACGAAGUGGCGAACGGGUGAGUAACGCGUAAUCAACUUGCCCUUCAGAGGGGGACAACAGUUGGAAACGACUGCUAAUACCGCAUACGGAAGGAGGGGAUUGCGUCUGAUUUGCUAGUUGGGUGGGUAACGGCCCACCAAGGCGAUGAUCAGUAGCCGGUCCUGGGGGGUGGACGGCCAAAAUGGGACUGAGACAACGGCCAGAAUCCUUCGGGGGGGAGCAGUGGGGAAUUUUCCGAAAUGGACGAAAGUCUGACGGCGCAACGCCGGGGUAGUGAUGGAGGCCUUCGGGUUGUAAAGCUCUGUUAAUCGGGACGCGGUACCGGAAUAGAAAGCCACGGCUAACUACGUGCCAGCAGCCGCGGUAAUAC